UUUCUCUGAAGAAGCACGAGUGGUGCGAAACGUCAGGAAUUUUUUUCUUUUAAAAUUUUAAACCAUACUCCUUUUAUCUUUCUUACCCUUGAAACAAAAGGUUUGGAUGAUGUGAAAUAGAAGAGGAUUACUCCAUUACUCCAUCUCACUAUUCCAAAAAGGACACAAUUUUUCCAACAAACAAAGAUAAGCACAUGGACCUUUGGAGACUGGUUGGGGAUGGUAUGGAAGAGCUCCUUUCUGUAUGAGAUAUCCAUUUUUCUGGGUUGGUGAGUACUCCCAAAACCACUGUGUGUACACAUGAAGAUUUUAAAGUUUGGAGUGGAUUGAAGCUGAACCACUAUCAGAAUUGAACCAUAAAGGAGUGAUCACUUGUGAAUGAAGUGUUUUUUUCCCACUUGAGAGGGGAGAGGUUUUUUUUCCUCUCACCUUAGUGUGGAGUGCUUUCCUAGAGAGAUUGUUUUUAUGGAGUAACAACCGAACCUAUAGUGGAGAAUUCGUACGGACUGCUCUCUGGUAUACAUUCCCCUUACUCCCUCUCCUCAAACAUUUUUUUUGAGGGGUUGAGGCCUGUAUGAGGCUUAACUGCCAUUUCUGGAGCAACCACCAGAUGGCAACAGACAAGGACUUAUUGUAGGAGAAAAGGAGUUGUGAGUUGACCUCCAUCAUCACCUGUUAUAUUGGGUUUUGUUUCAUUGGAGUUUCUUUUCUAAAAUCGGGCCAAUAUUUGUUUUGUGUUUUUGGUUUAUAAUAUCAUUUUCUUAAAUGUUUUUUGUCCUCUGUGUGGGUAUAUAUAUUUCUUUGGUUGACUGGGUCUAAUUAUAUAUUGUGGGGGGGAUUUUAACGUUUAUAUGAUCCCUUCUUUUAGUUGGGUUUCCCAGCAAGGGUUCCGGCUAUUGGUUCUUUACCAUGGCAGUGCCAGUACACAAUCGUUUCCAGGCUCUAGUUAACCUACAUGAUCAGGCAGGUAUGGUAAGACAGGUGAAUAAAUUGGCGGCCUUUAUUAAACCCUCCUCGCCCAACCAACAGACUCUGGCAAAGCAGGCUAAAUCCAGUUAUGCGGCUGCAGUGACUAGCAAGUCACCGACUGGCAGGGCCUUAAUGGGAGCCAAGGCCCAUAGGGACUCUGGAAUAUGCAGGAAUACUCCAGGGGGAUCGAGUGACAACUCGGACCUGCAAAGAGUGGAGGGGCUAGCUUCAGACUUACCCCAACAAUCAAGAAGAGUAAGGAGAUAUUUAAUCCCCAAACUCAACGACCAAGAGAGAAUCUGGCCCCACCUAAAGUCCCAGCCUUGAUAAUCCCAGGUUCACAACAAGAUAACCAGCAGGGUACGGUAGCA